AAUGAACGCUGGCGGCAGGCCUAAACAUGCAAGUCGAGCGCCCUAGCAAUAGGGAGCGGCGCACGGGUGAGUAACACGUGGGAAUAUGCCUUUUGGUACGGAACAACCUCGGGAAACUGAGGCUAAUACCGUAUGGUCCCUUCGGGGUAAAGAUUAUCGCCAAAAGAGUAGCCCGCGUUGGAUUAGCUAGUUGGUAAGGUAACGGCUUACCAAGGCGACGAUCCAUAGCUGGUCUGAGAGGACGAUCAGCCACACUGGGACUGAGACACGGCCCAGACUCCUACGGGAGGCAGCAGUUAGGAAUAUUGGACAAUGGGCGCAAGCCUGAUCCAGCCAUGCCGCGUGAGUGAUGAAGGCCUUCGGUUG
rnacentral:rRNA from 1 species